UACGUAGGGCGCAAGCGUUGUCCGGAAUUAUUGGGCGUAAAGAGCUCGUAGGCGGUUUGUCGCGUCUGCUGUGAAAACCUAAGGCUCAACCUUGGGCUUGCAGUGGGUACGGGCAGACUAGAGUGCGGUGGGGGGUGACUGGAAUUCCUGGUGUAGCGGUGGAAUGCGCAGAUAUCAGGAGGAACACCGAUGGCGAAGGCAGGUCACUGGGCCGCAACUGACGCUGGAGGA
rnacentral:rRNA from 1 species